CCCUGCCCCGCGGGGAGGCGGUUGAGGCCCGGCGAGAAUUCGAGCGCUGCGCGGGCGGGCCAGCAGAGUUGGGGGACCCUGCGCACCCUCCGCAGCUGCUGGCCCGGGUGCUAAGCCCCUCACUGCCCAGGCAGGCGGGGCGCCAGCUGGCCGCUCUGAGUGCGGCGCCCGCCGAGCCUACGCCCACCCGGAACUCGCGCUGGCUCGCGAGCGCCGCGCGCUGCCCGGGUUCCCAUCCGCGCCUCUCCCUCCACACCUCCCAGCAAGCAGAGGGAGCCGGCUCUGGCCUCCGCCAGCCCAGAGAGGCUUCCACAGUGCAGCGGCGGGCUGAAGGGCUCCUCAAGCGCGGCCAGAGUGGACGCCGAGGCCGAGGAGGCGCGGAGAGCGAGCGAGGGCUGCUAGCCCAUGCAAUGGACUCCAUGAAGGUUCUUAUGCUUUAAUGCUUUAUUUUUGUGUGGUUGCCUCCUGCCAGGAGGUGGCGCUUUCCAGAAAGCAUCAGCUAGUAUAGAGAGGGACUAGAGGUGGGCAGGGCUCUAGUACUCCGAAGAUUAUAUGCCCUUUGUCUUCCGCUACCAGGGUGGAUAAGGAAGGACCAUUUGGCAAGGGCAGAGCUAGGCAUGUCUGAGCUCAGACUCUCCUUAGGGGGGUCUUGCUGCAGCUGCUGUGGGGGAUGGGGUGAGAUUCCCAGGUCACUGGAGUUGUGUGCCUAGGAGGAUUAUGGCUGCCUUUGCUGAGUCAUGCCGGUUAUCAGGAAAGUAGGGGAAAGCCAGAAGUCACAGGCUUCACCCAGCUCCCAUACAAAACGAAGGGCCGGUCUCACUCCCACCAUGCCCCCACCAAUAGCUCCGAGUCUGUUUCCAGGUCGAGGGUGUGAUGGGCUUGAAAACUUGCCGCGGGUUACCCACCUCCAGCUGCCAGAGAAAAGGGCUUAGUUCUUCCCCUGCCUGUGGAGUCUGCACACCAGAUUUGAGCCCUCCCUCGAGUUCUGGCCAGGAGACUUCUCACCCUGUUCAAAGUGUUACAAAGUUCAGCUAGAGAUUUCCUUCUCCCUGUGAAGUAUACUCCACGCUCCUUUGAUCACCCACCUGAUGGAUCUCUGUGGUGCCAGGAAGGAAUGUCCCUAGCAAGGGGACAUAGCGAGCUCCCAGGGCGUUUCUGCUGCUUCCUCUACCCCUGCAUUUCAGCUCUCAAAAUUGGCUCAGCUCCAGGUUCCUGCUUGAUUUGUGAAACAGCCCAGGAAUAAGGGACAUUCUCCUGGAUCAUUCUGCUUCGUGAGAGGAUGAGGGCUCAGGAAACCCAAGAAGAAAACUGAGCCAGAGGGAUGCAUGGACUAUAAAAUAUUAUUGCUAUGUUGGGAAAUAUCUGUAUACUAGGUAAUCUACUUAACUAUCGACUAUUCA
rnacentral:lncRNA from 10 species